GAUUACCCGCUGAACUUAAGCAUAUAACUAAGCGGAGGAAAAGAAACUAACGAGGAUUUCCUUAGUAACGGCGAGUGAAAAGGAAAAAGCCCAACGCUGAAUCCAAUAGUUAUUUAAAUUAUAUGGAAAUGUAGCGUAUAAGUAUAACUAUUCGUAGCAUAUUUUUACACCCAAAGUCCCCUUGAGCGGGGCUACAGUCCAUAGAAGGUGCUAGACCUGUACGGGUGAAAAAAGUUACGAUAUGUUAUACUUUGGAGUCGGGGUGUUUGUGAAUGCAGC
rnacentral:rRNA from 1 species